rnacentral:lncRNA from 1 species
UCCUUCUGAUUCUUUCAGUUACCGUAUCUCCCAAGAAAUGUGAAUUACUCACUUUUUAAAGAAGGAUUGCUUCUUGGAUAAACUUCUCCAUCUCAAUCAAAGUUUCAGGUGUGCAGCAACGUAUAUCUGAAUUACUUUGCUUCCCUGGUGGCUCAGACAGUAAAGAAUCUGCCUGCGAUGCAGAAGGCCAUGGUUUGAUCCCGGGGUCAGGAAGAUCCCCUGGAGAAGGGAAAGUCUACCCACUCCAGUGUUCUUGCCUGGACAGUUUCAUGGACAGAGGAGACUAGUGGACUGUAGUCCAUGUGGUUGCAAAAAGUUGGGUGAGUGAGUGACUAACACUUUCACUUUUUUCAUAUGUGUGUGUAUAUAUA